UUCGCCCUUAGAGUUUGAUCCUGGCUCAGGACGAACGCUGGCGGCGCGCCUAACACAUGCAAGUCGAACGGAGCUUAAAGAGCUUGCUUUUUAAGCUUAGUGGCGAACGGGUGAGUAACGCGUGAGUAACCUGCCCUGGAGUGGGGGACAACAGUUGGAAACGACUGCUAAUACCGCAUAAGCCCACGGAUCCGCAUGGAUCUGAGGGAAAAGGAUUGAUUCGCUUCAGGAUGGACUCGCGUCCAAUUAGCUAGUUGGUGAGGUAACGGCCCACCAAGGCGACGAUUGGUAGCCGGACUGAGAGGUUGAACGGCCACAUUGGGACUGAGACACGGCCCAGACUCCUACGGGAGGCAGCAGUGGGGGAUAUUGCACAGUGGGGGAAACCCUGAUGCAGCGACGCCGCGUGGAGGAAGAAGGUUUUCGGAUUGUAAACUCCUGUCGUUAGGGACGAUAAUGACGGUACCUAACAAGAAAGCACCGGCUAACUACGUGCCAGCAGCCGCGGUAAAACGUAGGGUGCAAGCGUUGUCCGGAAUUACUGGGUGUAAAGGGAGCGCAGGCGGACCGGCAAGUUGGAAGUGAAAACUAUGGGCUCAACCCCAUAAAUUGCUUUCAAAACUGCUGGCCUUGAGUAGUGCAGAGGUAGGUGGAAUUCCCGGUGUAGCGGUGGAAUGCGUAGAUAUCGGGAGGAAAACCAGUGGCGAAGGCGACCUACUGGGCACCAACUGAAUCUGAGGCUCGAAAACAUGGGUAGCAAACGGGAUUAGAUACCCCGGUAGUACUGGCCGUAAACGAUGGAUACUAGGUGUAGGAAGGUAUCGACACCUUAUGUGCCGGAGUUAACGCAAUAAGUAUCCCGCCUGGGGACUACGAUCGCAAGAUUGAAACUCAAAGGAAUUGACGGGGGCCCGCACAAGCGGUGGAGUAUGUGGUUUAAUUCGAAGCAACGCGAAGAACCUUACCAGGUCUUGACAUCCGAUGCAUAGUGCAGAGAUGCAUGAAGUCCUUCGGGACAUCGAGACAGGUGGUGCAUGGUUGUCGUCAGCUCGUGUCGUGAGAUGUUGGGUUAAGUCCCGCAACGAGCGCAACCCUUAUUGCCAGUUACUACGCAAGAGGACUCUGGCGAGACUGCCGUUGACAAAACGGAGGAAGGUGGGGAUGACGUCAAAUCAUCAUGCCCUUUAUGACCUGGGCUACACACGUACUACAAUGGCGUUUAACAAAGAGAAGCAAGACCGCGAGGUGGAGCAAAACUCAAAAACAACGUCUCAGUUCAGAUUGCAGGCUGCAACUCGCCUGCAUGAAGUCGGAAUUGCUAGUAAUCGCGGAUCAGCAUGCCGCGGUGAAUACGUUCCCGGGCCUUGUACACACCGCCCGUCA
rnacentral:rRNA from 1 species